UACGUAGGUGGCAAGCGUUACUCGGAAUUACUAGGCGUAAAGCGCAGGUAGGUGGUUAGGUAAGUCCGUCAUGAAAUCUCCCGGCUUAACUGGGAGGGGUUGAGGGAUACUGCCCGACUCGAGUGUGGGAGAGGUAACUGGAAUUCCAGGUGUAGCGGUGAAAUGCGUAGAUAUCUGGAGGAACACCAAUGGCGAAAGCAGGUUACUGGCCCAAUACUGACACUGAGCUGCGAAAGCUAGGGGAGCAAAC
rnacentral:rRNA from 1 species